UGUGGCAUCGCCUGUGACUCCUGUGCUCCCGCCCGUGCUCUGGGCUAGACGUCCUUUCACGUCAUCUCUUCCACAAAGCCUCGCCACCGCACACCAUCCCCGCAAAAAAUCUGCUCCUUGGGGUCAAAAUCGAUGUCGAAUUCAUCUUUGUUUCCCAAAGCACCUGGCACAAGGAGAAGUCAUCCACAGAGUCAUGAGGACACUCAGGCAGCCUCUGGAGAGGCCCACGUGGCAAGCGACUGAGGCCUUCCAUGAGCUACCAGCACCACCUUGCCAGCCUGGGACUGCACCACCUUGGAAGCGGAUCUUCCAGCUCCAGUCACUUCUGAUGACUGCAGCCCUGGUGACAUCUUGGCCGCAGUCUCAUGGGAUGCCCUGGGACAGCCCUUCCUGAAUU